ACACACAUACAUUUUUUAACAGUGCACACAGAGGCGCUGCCUCCAGCCCCUCCCCCUCAUGAAGUUGAGUGCAUGACAGCGUGAACAUUGCACUUUCUCUGAGAGGCUAUUGUCAAGUUUCUAGUAGCAUGCUGCUGGUGGUCUUGCUGUGGGAUUAAAUGUACUAAUAAAACCGUCGAAACAAUGCGGGCUCGCUGCUGUGAAAGCUCCCUGAACAUCAUUUAUCAGAGUCUGGUUGUUUCCCUUCUCCGCGGCAGUCUCCACUCCAUAUCUUUAUAACGGAGCUAGCUAGCUAACCGCUAAUUACA